rnacentral:rRNA from 1 species
GUGGGGAAUAUUGGACAAUGGGCGCAAGCCUGAUCCAGCCAUGCCGCGUGAGUGAUGAAGGCCCUAGGGUUGUAAAGCUCUUUCGCCAGGGACGAUAAUGACGGUACCUGGAUAAGAAGCCCCGGCUAACUUCGUGCCAGCAGCCGCGGUAAUACGAAGGGGGCUAGCGUUGUUCGGAAUCACUGGGCGUAAAGCGCACGUAGGCGGAUCUUUAAGUCAGGGGUGAAAUCCCGAGGCUCAACCUCGGAACUGCCUUUGAUACUGGGGAUCUCGAGUCCGGGAGAGGUGAGUGGAACUGCGAGUGUAGAGGUGAAAUUCGUAGAUAUUCGCAAGAACACCAGUGGCGAAGGCGGCUCACUGGCCCGGUACUGACGCUGAGGUGCGAAAGCGUGGGGAGCAAAUAGGAUUAGAUACCCCAGUAGUCC